rnacentral:rRNA from 1 species
AUUGAACGCUGGCGGAAUGCUUUACACAUGCAAGUCGAACGGUAGAGGGGGCAACCCCUUGAGAGUGGCGAACGGGUGAGUAAUAUAUCGGAACGUGCCCAGUCGUGGGGAUAACGUAGCGAAAGUUACGCUAAUACCGCAUACGAUCUACGGAUGAAAGCGGGGGACUCGCAAGAGCCUCGCGCGAUUGGAGCGGCCGAUAUCAGAUUAGGUAGUUGGUGGGGUAAAGGCUCACCAAGCCAACGAUCUGUAGCUGGUCUGAGAGGACGACCAGCCACACUGGAACUGAGACACGGUCCAGACUCCUACGGGAGGCAGCAGUGGGAAUUUUGGACAA